GAGUCCAAAGUUAUUGCACUGGCCCCAGUGGGUCAGGGCGCAAACACGGGCGUAAACGCACUAAGGAUAUCCUCAAAUACGCACCUUUUGAUAUUGGGAGGAAUGCGGUGCGGGAAUGCCAUUCGAUAUGUUUUAUGUUGACUGUAUCCAGGCCGCUGCAGAUCCAAUAUUCGUCCCUUGUCAUGUUAAAGGAGCCUAUGUUGACCGCUGCCCUUCAUUUAUCAAACAGGGUGACAGUUUAUCUAUUGGACCACAGGAGUAGAGGGAGGACGUUGGGAUCCCCAGCGAUCGGAUCAACAGAUCGGAUGACACCAAAGAAUGUCGAGAAUAUAGCGCGUCCUCUGCCGUCACUCUCCUUCCUGUAAAGGCUGAGGGCCCAUCCAUAUGCAGAUGGCUAAUUUGUAGUGUUUUCACGGGAGCAUGGAGGGGGCCGACAACUCAUGAAGAGGGCUGAAAAGGAGCUACCUACACGUCACCCCAGGGGCCUGCUGGAAAAGCCUGCCCUACCAGAGCAACAACAUAAGUGUCCAAUCUGUGUUUGCUUACCCGUGGACGCCGGUGGCUGAGUCCUGGCCAGGGGCCCGUAAAUUGUGCCCUUUUUUUUACAGGCCCUGACAGCUAACAGACUAUUGGGAACAGGGGCCCAAUGACACAGCCACUCAACAGAUUAGCACCUCAUCAGCCUCCUGCGGCUCCGAACAAAUACGGCCCCUGCCUCUUUAAAGGGACAAUGGGGCCACCCCAGCUAAACAGCACCCCGCCAAGACAGCCCCCCACCCUCCUCCAGCCACAAAACUUCCUGGUCUGCUCUUUCUCCGGGGGCCACAGCUGCAUCAAGGGGUCCUUUCCCCGGUCUCCCCCGGGCCCACCCCGACCAGAUGUGUGUGUAUCAGGUGAGCAAAUAUUGCCACUUGCCUGAGAGUUCAAUGGCCAGUGCUUUCAGGAGGGUGCGUAUUGCGCCUGCCUGCUUUGCAACAGGGGUGCAUGUGGCUUCACACAGCAACGGGUGCACAGAGCGGGUCAGGGGAAUUCUCCAGGCACAGCUGGAGGCAGCAAAUCAAACAUACCUAUAUGGCUCAUUUGCAUUUUCCCAGACUGGGAAACCGUUCCCAGCUUUCAUUUCCUCCCUCCACAGCUUUUACAACAAAGGAGCGACUCGGUGUCACCGGGCAGCCACCACACACGCAGAUUUGACCUUUUGUUCCCCUGCAAUUCACAGUGUAUAACUCUGACUUAAAAACACAUCGAAUAUGAAGCCUUAUUAAUCAACAAAUACACUGACACAACUAGAAUGGUAGAGCAGAUACCUACAUUUCACACACUCAUAGAUAACAGCUCUUGAAAAAUGCCUGAUUGUUUUUUUUAUCAAAAUCCAUGAAUUAUUCUCUUGGAAAUUGAGGUAAAUGUCGAAAAACCUCUGAUCUCGCAAUGUUAAAUAAAAGUCUUGAAUCUGUCCCCUGAUGCAGAUCCACACCGAAGUUGUGUGGUUUCUUUCCGGACCCAUACCACACCAUUCCACCAAGUUCCGGGGAAAUCAGUUGUGUUGUUUUUUUGUGUUAUCUUGCUUACAAACCAACCAUAAAAUGGACAGGGGUGGAAACCCCCUACAAAUGGACCCAUAACUCUGAUCACCAUUAGGUUAUAUAAGUAAACAUGCAGGGGCAUUGAAAGCUGAGCUUGUCAUCCACUCAUGUGUCGUGUUUUGGAGUCUUUGUCUCCAGUGCACACAUUAAAGGUGUAAACGCCCUCUGAGGUUGGACUCACGUGUCAUCCAGGUCAUAAUGUGGAAAACCCAGACAGGGAAAAUACACGGUGUGCUGUGAGAUUGUAUUAGAGAUAAGAGAUAGCGUGUUUCUUGGUACUCGUGUCCUUUGUCAAGGACACAGGAAGAAAAAGUAAAACAGUGUGGGCUACAGUUGGUUACAGGCAGACGGCAGUGAACUGAUAAAACAUGGACGUGUUUUUUUUUUGUCGUUUUAGUUUGGAACACGCAUCUUAAGAAAUUGCUCAGCAGCUCCCUUGAUUCCAGGCAAACAUUCACUGUGAGCGUAGAAUAAUAGUCAAUCAAAUGAAUCCCUGUUUACUGGUCAAGCCUGAGAGGCAGCAUUGUGGAGGAUGAAAGGCCACCAGCUGAAUGCCACACCAACAAGCCGCUCACAGAAAGGCCAGGCCCACGGCUACAGAGAACAGGAUCAGCUUAGGUAAAGGCUACGGGCCUGCGGACGCGGCCAGCUGUGUAUUGGGUCAGGAGAGGAGGCUUCAGCGCGGACUGAGGACCACCUUGAUCCCCGCUGGAAGUCAAACACAAGUGUGGGUAGCCGUGUCCUGGGAGGCCUCCUCCGCCGUCACAGUGAAAUGACACUGGCCCAGAAAACAAACAAGAUCUCUCUCCAUCUCUCUCCCCCAAGCCCAGGCCAGCCUUGUCCGGCUGAUGGGUUUUUUUCUGUUGUUCUGUUUGUUUGCUUGUUUGGUCUGUAGCCCAUGGAUACCCAGCAUGGGCGCAGAGAGAGGAGAAGCGGAGGAAUGGAGGACGCGGAGGAGAGAGGAGCGGUAAGGAGGUGGUGGUGACGGUGGUGGUGGACGAGCGUGCACAACACACACACAACAGACCUCCCCUUGAGGUGACGAGAGACCUGCCGAGAAGCCACCAGGCAAAGCUCCUCGACAAAUAUACACAUGAGCUCAGGCUCAGGGCCACAAAGACAGAUCGCUGUCUCCGCUUCAAACAGAUGUUAUAUCCGACACACGUCAGAUAGCUCAGUGUUAAUACAUGUAAAUAACCUCCACAACUGGUUUCAGAGCUCACCCUCUUAUUGAAGAGGAAACCUUUGGUAUUCAGGUAUUGACACAAGUAAUUCCAAAAUGAGAUGAAGUAAAACACAUACUAUGAUAUUUAUUUUUGUAUAGUGGUAACCCACCUUCAGAUAAUCAAAUGUUGUACCAAACACACUGAGCUCUCCCACAAUUUCAGUGGGUGAACCUACAGUGAGUGACAUCUUCUGGCAGCAUGGAGAAUUGCUUCCUUAAUGUAACAGCACGAUGAGGAGUCAUGGGCCCAUUUGAAUAUACAAGUACAUAUAUAUAUAUAUACAUACAAUUUAGAUUGUGUCUUUGGCUCAACCAAUCAGCACAGGGCAUCAUUCAUUCCAGAAGCCGACCACUUGAGGUUGGUAAAUGAGAAAAAACACUUAAUCUCAAAUCUCUUUAUCUGCAAUUUCAAGUGUUUAGUGUAUUUAUUCAUUAUUAUAGCCUUUUAUAAUUUUUAAUGACAUUCAGUAUUUUUUAAGAAAUUUAACUUUUAGCUCAAUGCAGUUGAACAGUGGUGUUUUAUUGUAUUAUUGUUUCAGUGGAUGUUUAUCAGUGCAUUUCUGUGUCUUGUUUUUUUUGUCGUCUUUUAAUUGUCCGAAACUAAAUUGGCUGCAGGAUUAAUAACGUUGUAUUGUGUGACAUUGUAAGAAAUGUUUUGUAAAAGUUUAAAGGUACCCCCUUGAUAUGUUUUAUGUAUAAAGGUUUAAUCUGCAUUAGAUUGUAACAAAUCUAAUGCACAACCCUAUUUGUGUCUGACAUCGAUUCUUCCUCCAAUAAAAGGGUUUUACCUCCAACUACAGAUACUCGAUGUUUCCACCUACAUUGAAAAGUAAAUUUUAAGUGUAGGUGUAAUGGAGGCUUCGAGUUUCUGUCCAUCCUCAGAAAGGGAUCCCUGGCUUGUUACACUCUCGGAAGGUUCUGUGUUUUUGCUCUGUUAAAAUGUGGAUGUGUUUUUUUUUGUCCCCCUAGUCGAGGGUUAAGGACAGAGGACGUCACACCUUUGGUUUGUUAAGCUCUAUGAGGCAAACUGUGAUUUGUGAAUACUGGCUGUACGAAUAAAAUUGGAUUUGAUUUGAUUUGAAAGUGUCAAACUAAACAUCUUUCUGCAAAAAUAAAGAUCAAAACAUGCAAAUAAACUAUAUCUAU